GAGCUUCGUGUCUGCGCAUCAACUCGUCAAAAAUAAUUUCCGCAAAGUGGAAAAAAACGUAUAAACUGCCUGGAGAAUUUUUGAAGAGAAAUAAGCAGUGCGAACUUACAUACCCGACCUUGCGAAGGACAUAUUAUAUGGAGAAUUUGGGUAUCCAGAACUGCAAGGUACAGUGCUUUGUUCCCGGAGCGCAGUUCGACGCAGCCGACUCCCACUGGCCCAUGUACCUCAUUGACGGCAGCAAGUGUGGAACGAAACGAAUAUGCAUCAAUGGACAAUGUGUGGAAGACCGGAGGAAGCCGCGCACAAAGCGUCCGAAGCCAAAUAGUACCGUUGAAGGAAACUGAUUUUCAAAAAUCGUU